GACGAACGCUGGCGGCGUGCUUAACACAGAAUGAAGAAACGAGUGGCGAACGGGUGAGUAACGCGUAAUCAACCUGCCCUUCAGAGGGGGACAACAGUUGGAAACGAAUGCUAAUACCUAAUACUGUGAGCGAGCUUUGCGUCCCAUUAGCUAGUGGGAGAGGUAACUGCUCAGCAAGGCGAUGAUGGGUAGCCGGCCUGAGAGGGAGAUAGGCCACAAGGGGACUGGGACACGGCCCUGACGCCUACGGGAGGCAGCAGGGAGGAAUAUUGGACAAAGGACCAAAGUCGGAUCCAGCAAUGCGGUGUGCAAGAUGAAGGUUUCGGAAUGUAAAGUGCUUUCAGUUGGGAAGCGGUACCAACAGAAGAAGCGACGGCUAAAUACGUGCCAGCAGCCGCGGUAAUAC
rnacentral:rRNA from 1 species